GGGAAACUCCCAUUUCUCUCCCCACCCCAAUCCAGUGGCCCUCAACGACGCGAGCGCCGGCCGCAAUCUCCCGCCGCCGCCGCAGGCGAGGCGGGACAGGGCCGGCCGAGGUGGCACCACGGCAGAUGCAGUGCGAGGAACAGCGUCUUGAGCCCCGGCCGGCCGGACAUCGGCGUCUCCAAGACCAAGGGCCACAUCCUCGGCAUGUUCCCCUACCCCAGCACGACAAAGAUGGACGGACAAGUCUUCGGCUUGCCCUGCUUCUUGUCCUUGAUGGCUGAAUUGGCACUUUGGAGGGUCAACUACGUUGCACAAUAAUAGGGCACUUCCUGAACCGUACUGGAAUCCAGAAAAUUGGUUUCAAGAAACUGUAAAAUACACCGUCUACAACUACAAAUAUUUAUUAUUUGUUACUUGACGGUGGCAAAUAAAUGAUGGCUAUUUUUCAAUCAUGGGGGGGCGUGAUCUAGAAGCAAGCUAACCAAGACGGCACUGAAGUCAAAGUCAAGUACAAGUGUCAGCUCCCCUACCCUUACUUCCACAUAUAUCUAAGCACGCACACACAAAUAUUUUAAUAAACACACUCCAUUAGGACAAGAAGAGAGACAUGGCUCCUCAAGUUUUUCGCACCCAAUCUCUGGUUCCUCCGUUGCACCAUGAACUCUUUCUUCUCUACACCAUCCUCAUAUUUCUGUCCUCCAACACAAUAGUAUUCACAUCAGCACAAGCUAGCAACAGAUCUGAGAGUGACCGGCAAGCCCUUCUCUGCUUCAAAUCUGGCAUCUCCAAGGGAUCUGCCCGUGUUCUUGGAUCAUGGCGCAAUGACUCGCUCAACUUCUGCGGCUGGCGAGGGGUCACCUGCAGCACCACCCUCCCAAUCCGCGUCGUGUCCCUCCAACUCAGGUCUACGCUGCUCACAGGAACACUAUGCAGUUGCAUGGCAGCCCUUAAUUCUCUAGUUCAGUUGGACCUUUGGAACAAUAAGUUAUCUGGAAGCGUACCUGAAGAGAUAGGUGAGCUUCGGAGCCUCCAAACCCUGAUGCUUGCUGGCAACAGGCUUUCAGGUAACAUCCCUCUGUCAUUAGGUACAGCUGCAUCUCUUAGAUCUGUCAACCUUGCAAACAAUUCUCUUAGCGGAGCUAUUCCUGAUUCCUUAGCAAAUAGUUCGUCACUUAGUGAGAUAAUCCUCUCACGUAAUAACUUAUCUGGGGGGAUCCCAGCCAAUUUGUUCAACUCAUCCAAACUUGCUGCUGUUGACCUCCGGUCGAAUGCUCUCUCUGGGGCUAUCCCACAUUUCCAAAAGACGUCAGCUCUGCAGUUUCUCGAUCUUACAGGGAAUUCACUUUCUGGCACCAUACCAGCAUCUUUAGGAAAUGCCUCAUCCUUGCGUUCACUCCUGCUAGCACAGAACAAGUUAGCAGGAUCAAUUCCGGAAACUAUCGGUCAAAUUCCAAAUCUAAAAAGGGUAGAUCUAAGUAAUAACAUGUUCUCGGGGUAUGUCCCAGCUACCUUGUACAAUGUGUCAUCACUCACAUUCUUUAGCCUAGGCAGCAACAAAUUUACUGGACAGCUACCUUAUGACAUUGGCCACUCACUUCCAAACCUCGAAACAUUAGCAAUGGGACUCAACAAAUUUCGUGGAUCAGUCCCGGAUUCCCUGACCAACAUGUCAAAGCUCCAAGUGCUUGAUAUUUCAAGCAACUUGCUUACUGGCGUAGUGCCAUCUCUAGGAUCCUUGGCAAACUUGAGUCAACUGCUUCUAGGAGAUAAUAAACUCGAAGCUGAUGACUGGGCCUUCCUUACCUCUCUGACCAAUUGCACUCAGUUGUUAAUAUUAUCAAUGGAUGGAAAUAUCCUGAAUGGAAGUUUGCCAAAAGCAGUAGGCAAACUUUCAACAAAGCUUCAGCGGUUAAGCUUUGGAAGAAACCAAAUUUCUGGAAACAUACCAGCUGAGAUAGGGAAGCUUGUAAGUCUCGCUCUGCUUGACAUGGGCCGGAACAUGCUCUCAGGACCAAUUCCCCUGACAGUUUGGAACUUGAGCAAUUUGGUUGUCCUAAAACUUUCCAUGAAUAGGUUGUCAGGUCAGAUUCCAUCAACAGUGGGUAAUCUUGUUCAACUCAGCCAGCUUCAUCUUGAUGAUAAUGAAUUGUCUGGAAACAUACCAGAAAAUAUAGGACAAUGCAAAAGGCUGCUUAUGCUAAACAUGUCAGUUAACCACCUUAAUGGAUCCAUACCAAGAGAACUCUUCAGUAUUUCCUCCCUUUCAUUGGGCUUGGACUUGUCAAACAACAACCUGACUGGGCCAAUACCAUGGGAAGUUAGUAACCUGAUCAAUCUUGGUCUCCUUGAUGUUUCCAACAACAGAUUAUCUGGUAGCCUUCCUUCUGAACUUGGCCUGUGUGUUCAACUGCUAUCCCUUCAGAUCAGAAGCAACAUGCUUAACGGGAGUAUUCCCGAGUCUUUCAGCAAACUGAAGGUCAUACAGCAGAUAGAUCUGUCCGAGAACAAUUUAACUGGUCAAGUUCCACAGUAUUUUGUGAACUUCAGCAGCUUAAAUUAUAUUAAUAUAUCAUACAAUAAAUUUGAAGGGCCAAUCCCGACUGGUGGCAUAUUUCGAAAUUCAGCUGCAGUAUUCCUGCAAGGCAACACAGGCUUAUGUGAAACAGCUGCUGCCAUAUUUGGAUUGCCCAUUUGCCCAACCUCCUCAGCAACAAGAAGGAAGAUCAACGCACGCCUGCUGCUGAUAAUAGCUCCACCAAUUACUAUUGCCGUGAUCUCAUUAUUAUGUGUUGUUGUCACUAUUACGAAGGGAACUAAAGCUCAACCAUCUGAAAGCUUCAAGGAGACAAUGAGGAGGGUGUCAUAUGGAGACAUCCUUAAAGCCACCAAUUGGUUUUCUCUGGUCAACCGGAUCAGUUCAAGUCAUACAGCAUCCGUCUACAUUGGCCGGUUUGAGUUCGAGACAGACCUAGUGGCCAUCAAGGUAUUCCAUCUCAGUGAGCAAGGUUCAAGAAAUAGCUUUUUCACUGAGUGCGAAGUGCUAAAACACACUCGCCACCGCAAUUUGGUUCAAGCUAUCACUCUGUGCUCAACGGUAGAUUUUGAGGGUGAAGAAUUAAAGGCCAUAGUAUAUGAGUUCAUGGCAAACGGUAGCCUGGACAUGUGGAUACACCCAAGGGUGGGUAGCUCAAGGAGGCUGCUGAGCUUGGGCCAGCGGAUAAGUAUUGCUGCUGAUGUGGCUUCUGCUCUGGACUAUAUGCACAACCAGCUGACACCUCCUUUGAUCCACUGCGAUUUGAAGCCUGGCAAUGUUCUGCUGGACUACGACAUGACCUCACGCAUCGGUGACUUCGGGUCCACCAAGUUUCUCUCUUCAAGUAGUGGCGGACCAGAAGGCUUGAUUGGCGUCGGAGGAACGAUUGGAUAUAUUGCACCUGAAUACGGGAUGGGAUGCAAAAUCUCAACAGCUGGUGAUGUGUAUGGUUUCGGGGUGCUGCUACUGGAGAUGCUCACGGCGAGGCGACCGACGGACGCGCUAUGUGGUAACGCUCUCAGCCUUCACAAGUAUGUUGACCUAGCUUUCCCCGACAGAAUUGCUGAGGUUCUAGAUCCCCAUAUGCCAUCUGAGGAGGACGAGGCGGCUGCAUCUCUACGUGUUCAGAAGUACAUUAUACCUCUGGUCAGCAUUGGCCUGAUGUGUACCAUGGAAUCGCCGAAAGAUAGACCAGGAAUGCAUGAUGUCUGUGCUAAAAUUGUUGCCAUAAAAGAGGCAUUUGUUGAGACCUUGUGAUCAUGGCAACUAAUGGGUUGGGCAGUAGCUGUUAAAGAUUAUGUAUACAUAAUUACAUAUUCAGAAGUACAGUACAGUUACUACACUACUGUGAUGCUUAUAUACAAAAUUACAGUAGCUGUACCACUUAUAGAACAAUCCCAUCAUUUUUUUUGUAUGUAUCUGCCUAUCUGGUAAAUAUGUGCCACUAUGCCAUGGGCCCGCAAAAAUAAGCGGCGUAAAUCUUUCUCUUUUUAUCUAAGAUUGAAGUGAUAUUUUCUAGCAUUUGGGAGGGAGCGCCGAAGCUCUUUUAGAACUUUGUUUCACUGAAACAACAUAGGUGUGAUAUUUUGAAAUGCUAUUAGUUACUGUACAUAUUUCUGAGAGAAGUGUCGUUGAUUUGAUU
rnacentral:rRNA from 1 species